rnacentral:ncRNA from 1 species
UGACCUCGGAUCAGACGUGAUUACCCGCUGAAUUUAAGCAUAUUAUUAAGCGGAGGAAAAGAAACUAACAAGGAUUCCCCUAGUAACGGCGAGUGAACGGGGAAGAGCCCAACACCGAAUCCCUUGGCGCAAGUCAACGGGAAAUGUGGUGUUAAGGUAGCCCUUCGUGUCAGUCUAGGCGUCUCAAGUCCACCUGAUUGUGGCUCAAGCCCAGAGAGGGUGUAAGGCCCGUAGAGACGCUCCGACUGAUUCCUGGGGUUUACCUACGAGUCGGCUUGUUUGGGAAUGCAGGCCAAAGCGGGUGGUAAACUCCAUCCAAGGCUAAAUACUGGCACGAGUCCGAUAGCGGACAAGUACCGUGAGGGAAAGUUGAAAAGAACUUUGAAGAGAGAGUUCAAUAGUACGUGAAACCGCUUAGAGGCAAACGGAUGGUGCUCAUACUGGCCUGAGGAAUUCAACUGUGACGGUGGCUGGACGAGCUGGCGUUCCGAUCUCUCUUUUGGGACGGGCGUCGGUUUGGCUAUCAGCUCCGACAUGGUGCACUUUCCUUGGUGCCUCCGCCACGACCGACGACACUGGCUACCCGCGGCUGGGGUAAGGUGACAAACUGCUUCGGCAAUUUGUGUUAUAGACCCCGGCGUCGGACAUGGUUUGGCCAGGACGUCGAGCUUGCGGCGCCCGCUCCUUGUGGGCUCGCAUGUUGGCUAGCUUGGCUGCGCCGAUGCUUGCACUGGACAACCAGUACAGGUGACGGUUGUGGUCUUGUCUCUAGUUGGCCUCUGCGAGUUUGGCGCCUAUAGUCUGUGGUGUACUUGUGGGUAGACUAUCCGACCCGUCUUGAAACACGGACCAAGGAGUCUAACAUGUGCGCGAGUCAUGGGGAUUCUACGAAACCCAAAGGCGCAGUGAAAGUAAAGGCCUGCUUCUCGUAGGCUGAGGUGGGAUCUCGUGCAUCGCGAUUGGCGAGCGCACCACCGGCCCGUCCUAUCUGUCUCUGUCAGUGGGGCGGCGCAAGAGCGUACACGUUGGGACCCGAAAGAUGGUGAACUAUGCUUGCGCAGCUCGAAGUCAGUGGAAACACUGAUGGAGGAGCGCAGCGUUUCUGACGUGCAAAUCGAUCGUCAAACGUGAGUAUAGGGGCGAAAGACUAAUCGAACCAUCUAGUAGCUGGUUCCCUCCGAAGUUUCCCUCAGGAUAGCUGGCACUCGGGAAACAG